rnacentral:lncRNA from 10 species
CUGACCACUUGGGCAUUUCAGAACGCAUUAACCUCCUAGGGAGUUGCUAGGAGAAACAACUAACCAAAUCAAAGAAAGUGUCAUUUUGCCACUUACUAGAAAUAAAAGUGACAAAGAGGCUUGAGUCGCUUAUGGAUCUAUUUAUUGAAAAACUUUAGUCUUCAAUAAGUAUUUUUAGAAGAGCUUUAUAGCCAUUAGAAGUAUAAAAAGAAAUAGAUCAUUAACCACAUCACUCUUCCCUAAAACACAUAUACAUUUCUGUCAGAAUUCAUCCACUUUUAGGAAAAUUUCUGCACCCUUUCACUCCCACAUAUAAAAAUGUUAUAUUGCUAUAUAAAUUGAUUUUACAUGCCACAUUCAUUUUUCUUUCAAAAUGUGGUCUUUGGUUCAAUUACUUCAACACAGACUUAUUAAGCAUUUGUUAUAUUAUUUACUAUAUAUAUUGUGAGAUAAGCAAUAAAUACAUUUACCAAAAAGAAUUGAAAUACAGUAAUAUAAUAACUUUUGUUAAAAAUGCUUAUGAAUAUGGGGCUAAAUCCAAGGAUGUGAAAAUUUCUCAAGAUAAUUUAUGCAAGGAAAAAGGAAAACUUUUUAGCUUGCAUCUGGAGAAUGAGUAAACAUGUGCAUACAUAAAAAUUAUGAAAAGGGACCAUGCAUGGUGGCUCAUGCCUGUAAUCCCAGCACUUACUUUGGGAGGCCAAGGUGGGUGGAUCACCUGAGGUCAGGGGUUCCAGGGCACCCUAGCCAAUAUGGCGAAACCCCAUCUCUACUAAAAAUACAAAAAUUAGCUCGGCAUAGUGGUGCAUGCCUGUAGUUCCAGCCACUUGGGAGGAUGAGGCAGGAAAAUCACUUGAACCCAGGAGGUGGAGGUUGCAGCGAGCUGAGUUCGCAACACUUGCAUUCCAGCCUGGGCAAAAGAGUGAGACUCAAUCUGAGAAGAAAGAAAAGAAAAGAAAAGAAAAAAAGGGGGAAAAAAGAAGAAAAUUAUGAAAAGAGCAAGAGAAAGAAAUGGGAAAAGUUUGUGGCUUGAACAACUGGGUGGAUGACUAUGUCGGGGACUGCCAUGAACAUUUAAGGAAAGUGAAUGACUGCAAAUGUUGUUAAGUAUGAUGAACUGGACUUCAAAAAUAAAUAUUAAACAACUAAAGAAUAUUUAGGACUUACAAUGUACUAGGCACUAUUUUACUCACUUUGUAUUAGUAUAGUUAACUCUUAAGAAGCCCUGUUUUCACAGAUACUAUUGUUAUCUUCAUUUUAUAGUUGAAAAAUUUGAAGCACAGAUAAGUUCAGUAACUUUCCAACGAUUAUAUAGCAAAUAAGUGGCAAGGUCCAAUUCAAUUCUUGGAAGUCCAGCUUCAGAAUAUAAAUUCAUAGCCACUGCACCAUAAUUCCUUAAAGAUGUUGAGUUUGAGGUGUUCAUUCAUCCAUUCCCAAAUUCAAUAUAGUUAAGUGCCUUCUACAUGCCAGACAUUGUGAUAUGCACUGUAAUGGGGUACCUCCAAAAGGAAGUGUCCAAAAUUCUGUUUCUUGCAGUCAACAUAAGCCAACCAGACGUCCCCCUAAAUGCAUGAUAAGACUCUAGUUCUGCUAUGCAGUGAAUGUGCCCCUCUCUCCAAAGUCAUAUAGUGAAGCCCUGAACCCUCAGUAUGAUGUUAUUUGAAAAUGGGGCCUUUGGGUGAUAAUUAGGUUUAGAUGCGGUUAUGAGGCUGAAACUAUCAUGAUGGGAUUAGUGUCUUAAUAAGAAGAGAAAAGAGAGAGCUUGUUCUUCUCUUUGUGCCUCCAUGAGCGGAAACAAGAAGGCAGCUAUCUGCAAGCCAAGGAAGAGAGCCUUGACCAGAAAUUGACCAAGCUGUUACCUAGGUAUUAGACUUAUAGCCUCCAGAACCUUAAGAAAAUAAUUCCUGUUGUUUAAGCCACCCAGUCCAUGGUAAUUUAUUAUGGCAGCCCAAGCUGACUAAAGAAGUCCAUUAACUUAUCUUGCCUGAGACAUUAUAUAAAUGGGAAAUGUCUACAAAACUCACUGAUUUUUAUACCCUUUUCGUAGAAAUUAUAAGACACUUUUAUGAAGUAUUGCUUACAGAGGCUUUUCUUUGUUACACUUUGGGUGAAUAUUUUGUGAAAACUAUGGUAAGAGCACAAAAAGGUAGAGAUCUGGUACUACCUUACACAUGCUGAACAAGUUGUAGAAAGUUUUAGACCUGCUUACAUCAUCAAAUUUGCUUUGUCCAUUUGCAACAGGGUUACAAAUCAGUUGACUAAGUAAUUACUGUAGUACUUUGAAUUUCAGUCACAUAUAAACUCUUUCUGAGACUUCGGAACACUGUUUAAAAAUAAAUCAGUAUGGAAAUAUUCUGGUUACCCUUCUUAUAGUAUUAUUCAACAUAUUUCAGUGAAGAACACUUUAGUAAAAGGAACUCCAUUCUUUCUGAUUCCAGUGAGCCAAGACUGCUGAGGACUGGAAAUCAUAAAUUGCCAAAUUCCAAAAACUGAAUUCAUUGCUCCAUGCUAAAGUUAGUGAACUAUCUAAAAAGAGACGUAUACAGAAAAAGUCAGAUAAAUUAGAAAAGAUCAUUGCCCCAGGAUCCAGUCAAACCUUUCCAACUGUGUGUCCCUUGUUUAUCAGAAUUAAUAAACCCUACCAUUGCAAACUAUGGUCCAAUGGGAUAUAGUAUGAGAGCAGAGGGAAGAUUCGCUCCGUCUCACUGGGCCUCGCAAAGUACCCCUGCUCAAAGACAGAAGCUGGUGGGUAGAGCCACAAGACAGAAAAUCUUUAAAAGAAAAUGAUCAAGAUCUGCAUAAGUGACAAGCGGUCAAAAGAGUCAAGUUUGGUUACUGUUGUUUUUAAUUAUAUACCUGCUAUCUUGAUUGCAUAAAGUAAUAAAAUUUCCUUUCACACAAUCUAUUUAAAAUUGGGUUUCUUUCACUUGCAUAAUUAUUUCUAAGUAAUGUAUAUUCUUAAUGAUUCUUCAAUAUUACUUAUUAAUAUACAUCAUAGAUAAUUGUCAAUAAAGGUUGAAUCAUUAAAAACUCAUAUGCACCUAGUUUUCUCUUAAAGAUUUAAGGAUUAUUAUAACCCAAAUUAUGCAUAUUUGGACAACUAACUUAAGCUCUCUUCCUCAUUGGAUGUAAUGUCAUCUAUCAUAUAACAUUUUUGAGAAUAAGUUGAAUAUAUUUGUGUUUAGCCUAGAACAAUGUCCUUGUAAUACAGUAGAUGCUCAAUACAUAUUAAUUAUUAUUAUAAAGAUUUCAAAGGAAUCUAUACCAAAGUCAGUUAUAUACAAUAAUUAGAUGUGAAUAACAGCAUUCUGAGCACUGUACAUCUGUGGCUUCAAACAUGUUUUAUUGCAGUGCAUAAUAGACAACACAUUUUAUAUGCUGAAAUAGUAAGAAUACACAAAAACCCAUUUAAUAAGUUUCAUUUAGAAAAAUCUGAUUGUGUGAUAUACUUAAUGUUUGUAUUAUGUUUUAGUUUUUAAAUUCAUUUUAUGCAGAGCCCUCAAUUUUAAAAACAGAGGUACAAAGUUUUGUUAACUACUCAAUUAUUUGUGUACACUGCCAUAGCUCUCUGGCAAUUAAGUAAUCACUUUUCAUAAAAUCAGAUUUCUUAUCCAGUGCUCAUAACAGUCUCAUACAGCUAUUGAAUUCAAAAGACAGAGGCAGCAAAGUGCCUAGCCUUUAAAAACAAAUCCACAAUUUCUGACUUCCUACUGGGUUAUAUUUAUACUACUUGUGCAAAUGGGUAUAGGUUUCUCAUAACAUUUUUAGUUCACUGUUUUGAAUAAUAUAUGUUAGUAUCACAUUUGAAUAUGGAGCACAAAUGAUCAAAUGAUGAAAAGAGAAUAUUUCAGGUAAAUAUGUUUUUGCCAUUGUUACAAUAAGUCUGUUUCAUAAUGUAUUUUAACGUGCAGUGCCAGUACCUUUACAAUCUUUGUCUUUAUAAUGUAAUUCAAUUGUAGCAGUGAAAAAAUAUUGAUGUCAAACAUGAAAUAUUUUCAAAGGUCAGCUUGUUUAAACCUCAACUCUCUUGUUGUAAAUGGGAUAUAAUUGAUAAAAGACUGAGGAAAUUAAAUUGCAACUGCAUCUAGCUGACAGGUUCAUGAGGCUCUUCAUCAAUUUCACAUUAGGUUAUGACACUGUAGAUGACAGCAUGUGACAUAAACAUUCUGCCACAGAUUUCAUCACAUUAAUAAUAGUAUCCCCAGUGUGUUCAAGUAGUCAAUAAAGCAGCCCAAAAGGGCUUUUUGAAUUUACACGUGAACAAAGAUUUAUCAAAAAUUUAUAUAAAGAAAUGGUAACAAAAAUAAAAUUCGGUGAUGCAUAAACGCUGAUACAUUCAUCUUGGAUGCAUGUUCUAUAUUGGCAUAUUUGUCAUUAAUUUGAUUCUGAACAUAUUGAAAAAGUGGGCUGAACUCUCUUUUUACUCCUCUAUGAGGACAAUUCUAAAAAUAAAAUUUUAUAUUUCUUAAAUUCUUCAUGAGUCUUAGUGAAAGUGUGAUAUUCUUAGAUUAAAAAGAAAAGGGCCAGAGUCAAAUAAUCUCUUUUAGCUUAUUCAUCAGGUUUACACUUCUCAACUAUGCCUCAAAUCUGGGCUGUGCUUUUCUUACCUAUAUGUCCUGCUUUAUAUUGACAUAAUAAUUUCUUAUAGUUUCGCUUUAAGCUUUCCUCUGCUCUUUAUUAUGCCCUAUUAUGCCAUUGGAAGAUCAUUGAGAUUCUAGUAAAAUACAGAAAAAUAGCAACACCAUCCUGAUGUGUCCAUGAUCAACUGAGUUAUGCCACAAUGUAUGAAAAGCCCAGCUGUACAGAGGGGGGAAUAAUAAGAGAUUUGGACAGUCUGACCAAUUCAGUUACAUUAUUUUUUUCCUUCUUCCUCACUAUAACUACACAUUUGAGCACACAUGGACAAAAAUAUUAAUAUGAAAGUGACUACAUACUGCACAACUGGACAGAAUCUAUCCUCAUUCCUUGGCUUGUGGCCUACUUCUUUCAUCUAAAAGGUCAGUAAUGGCACAUUAAGUUAUUUGCACACCAAGCACCCUGUCCUACUCUUCUGCCUCCUUCUUCCACUUUUAAGGACCCUUGAAUCUAACUUGGUCCUGUCCAUAUGAUUCAAAAAAAUUUUUCCAUCUCUGUGACCUGAUUAACAACCUUUAUUACAUCUACAACCUUACUUAUCUUUGACCAUGUAAUAUAAAUGUAUGGGUUCCAAGAAUUAGGGUGAAGACAUAUUUGAGGGACCAUUAUUCUGCUUACUAUAGAAGGAAAGAGAAACAUACACAUAAUUAAAAAAUCAUGUUUACAUCAUACUUUUUAGAAACACACAAGAGAAAGAAUAUUGCAUAAUAUGUUUAGCAUUUUGAAGGAAAAUAAUAUUAAACUAGGAUUUUACACCCAGCUGAACUAUUACUUAAUGUGAACACACAGUAAGUAUAAUUGUAGGCAUAGAGGUUUUCAGAAUGUAAAAAAAAAUUAGACAAUUUUUAGAAAAUAAAUAAUUGCAAAAAGACUUUGUAGACUAUGGAAAAUAACAAUUAGUAUCCAUUUCUAUAAACAGUAUAUAUUUGCCUGGGGUUACAUUUUUGAUAACACCUAUGUGGCAAGAGGUGGAAGAAGAAGAGUAAAAGCUACCAAAUAAAUAAAUAAAAGAUCAGAACAUGCUGAGGUGUGCAUAUUUAGGACAAGGUGGAAAAUGAUAUUUAAGUUUUAAUUUUAAUUUCUUAGUUUAGCUUAAAAUGAAAUUUGGGCAUUGGCAGACUACAGAUUGUGGCCCACUGUCUUAAUCCAGUUUGUGCUGCUAAAACAAUAUAUCACAGACUGAGUAAUUUAUAAAGGACAAAAAUUUAUUACUCACAGCUCUGGAGGCUAAAUAGUACAAGGCCAACAUGUUAUCAUUUGGUUAGGGCUGCUCUCUGCUUCCAAACUAGAGCCUUGAAUGCUGUCCUCUGGAAAAGAGGUGCUCUCUGUGCUCAAAUGGCAAGAGGUAGAAGGGAAAAAAUGGGGAAAAUUCCCUCCAUCAAGCCACUUUAUAAAGGCAUUAAUCCAUUCACAAGAGGGAAGCCCUCAUGACGUAAACACUUCCCAGAAAGCCCCACCUCCCAACACUGUUGCAUUGGGAGUUAGGUUUCCAGCACAUGAAUCUGGGGGCAUAUUCAGACCAUAGUACUCACAAAGUGCCAAAUUUCACCACACUCACUUUUAAUGUAUUUUUAUAUUGCUUUCAUGCUACAAUGAAAGACUGGAGUAAUUGUAACAGAGACUAUGUGGCCAAUACAGCCAAAAAUAUUUAUUAUCUGUCUCUUUACAGAAAAUGUUGACUACUGAUAUAAAUUGAAAGGAAAAUAGCCAACACUGAAAAAUAAAUAAAAUAAAUCAAAAUUGGUGGGACACAUUAAAGCAAAACUUAAAAUUACAUAGCUCAUAUGCAUUUAUUAGAAAACAGGCAAAGUUAGAAAAAUGAGGUCAGUGUUUAAUACAGGGAUAAUAGAUGAGACAAUUUUACUGAAUACUUACAAAGGAAUUCUAUAAGCAGGCAAAAGCAUUGAACUAGACAUACAGCAACAACUUAAAUCAAUCUUAAAAAGUGUGGGCUUUUUUGCAAAAUGCAUUAGGAAAUCUAUAGCAAAAUAAAACUUAACUAAGUUAAAACACAUUCAGGUCCAAAAUAUCACUACCUAGUUUAAAUAAAUAUAUAUGCAUAAUAAACUUAAAGCCAUUAUAAAAUUAAUAAUUUAGUACAUAUUGUAGGAGGCAUAGCAUAAGAGGGAAAAUUAAGAUUUUAAUGUGUUAUGAACCGAGUAUUACAAUUUGUUUGGCAUUUUAAGUUCAGAUUUUAAAAUAAUAAUUAUGAAAAUUAUAUAUGUGUACAUAACCUUUAUUUCUGCUAGAUUUUAGACUAAGGUGAUUCUGUUCUAAUUCCAACAUUAAAUGCCAAAUAAAAUGUAACAAAAUUCAGAAACAUGUUAAGUUAUAAUAGAUAUAGAAAUAAAACUUUUAGAACCCCAAAUAUCAGAGACGAGAAGAAAUUCCAAGCCAGAACCAUAAACCAAGCUGAUCCCUGGCAGCUUAAGAGAAAGAAAGAAAAAAAAAAAAAACAAAAAACAGACAUAGGCAUUACACCUGGGAAUUCUGGGAACUGAGAUAGUCAAGACCCAUACUGUAACUGUAAAUGCACACUCAUUUGGGAACUGACACACAGCAAGUUAAUCCCUUGUCUCCCUUACUACUCUCAUUCUGUUACCUCAUCACCAAUAAAAAUCUGUGUGCUAUUCUCUAUGAAUUACAUAAAGCACUUACUUUCCUAGUUUUCUUCAUCUCUAUUCCCCACCAAAAAGAACAAAAAUAAAAUAGUUUAUGUUAAUUACAGACUCACAUAACUCACUUGUCAUCUAAUGCAUGCUUUUGUAGGAUAAAAAUAUUUAGAGGUGUCAUUUUUAUGUUGUUUAGAUUGCUUCUUCUUAUGGGCAUAUGAGUAACUUAGAGAACUGUGUAAUGUCACUGCUCCAGUACAACUAGAUUCCAAAAGUAAUGAAUUCUUAGGAACAUUCGUGAACCUCUAGGAUAAUCAUGGCAGACAGGAGACACGACUAGAUUGCAGCUCCAGAGAGAGCAGUGUGUGAAGACUCACAUGGUGAAUUUUAACUCCAGAACUGCAAGAACAAACAAACAAUCUCAAGAGGCCCCACAGACCCUCUGAAGGAAGGGGACUGCUCCUGUAGGACCUGGGAGACACCCCAAAUAUUGUGAGUGCCCCAACAGUGGAAGUGGGAAAGAGAGAGCCUGCUAUCCUGAACACAUGCCCCCACUGGAGAAAUUGAGGGAGAAGUUUCUGACUUUACCUGGAGCUGAGUCGAUUUAGACAGCCAAGCAAAAUACAGGGGUAGAGGAAGCAGCAGAAAGGCCCUGGGAGCUUGCUGGGUCCCUAAGCAGCCCAUUCCUGCCUGGCACCAAUCCAUCUGGAGGCUUGCUGUAAUCAGACUCUGGGCUGUUGCACGGGUACAUGGUGGGAAUGAGACUGGCCCUUUGGUUUGUGUGGGAGCUGAGUGUGACCUGUAACUGUCAGCUUUCCUCCACUUCCCUGACAACACACAUGACUGAGCAGAGGCAGCCAUAAUCCUCCUAGGUACACAACUCCAGUGACCUGGGAAUCUCUCCCCCAUCCCCGACAACAGCCACAACAAGACCCACCCAAUGACAGUCUGAGCUCAGGCACAUCUAGUCCAGCCCCCACCUGAUGGUCCUUCCCUACCUGUCCUGGUAGCAGAAGACAAAGGGCAUAUAAUCUUGGGAGUUCCAGGGCCCCAGCCACUGCCGGCCCUUCUCCACACUACUUCAGCUGAUGCUCUCUGGGAAGUGCCACUUCCUGGCAGGAGGCCAACAAGCACAGGAAUACAGCAUUAAACCAUCAAAGCUAAGAACCCUCAUGGAGUCCAUUUGCAACCCCUGCCACCUCCACGGGAACAGGCGCUGGUAUCCAUGGCUGAAAGAUCCAUAGUUGGUUCACAUCACAGGACUGUGCAGACAAUCCCCAGUACCAGCCCAGAGCUGGGUGGACUUGCUGGGUAGCUAGACCCAGAAGAGAGACAACAAUCACUGCAGUUUGGCUCACAGGAAAUCACAUCCAUAGGAAAAGGGGGAACACCUCACGGAACAAAAUAAUCUGAACAACAGCCUUCAGCCCUAGACCUUUCCUCUGAGAGAGCCUAGCGAAAUGAGGAGGAAUCAGAAAACCAACCCUGGUAAUAUGACAAAACAAGGCUCUUUAACACCCCCACAAAAUCACAGUAGUUCACCAGCAAUAGAUCCAAACCAAGAAGAAAUCCCUGAUUUACCUGAAAAAGAAUUCAAGAGGUUAGUUAUUAAGCUGAUCAGGGAGUCCAGAGAAAGGUGAAGCCCAGUGCAAGGAAAUCCGAAAAAUGAUACAAGAAGUGAAGGGAGAAAUAUUUAAGGAAAUAGACAGCUUACAGAAAAAAUAAAAAUAAAAAUAAACAAAAAAUUCAGGAAACAUUGGACAAAUUUAUAAAAAUGCAAAAUGCUCUGGAAAGUCCCUGUAAUACAAUUGAACAAGUAGAAGAAAGGAAUUCAGAGCUCUAAGACAAGGUGUUUGAAUUAACCCAAUACAACAAAGACAAAGAAAAAAGAAGAAGAAAAUAUUAACAAAGCCUCCAAGGAGCCUGGGAUUAUGUUAAACAACCAAAUCUGAAAAUAAGCAGUGUUCCCAAGGAAGAAGAGAAUUCUAAAAAGCUUGGAAAACGUAUUUGGGGGAAUAAUUGACUUCCCCAGCCUUGCCGGAGAUGUAGACAUCCAAAUACAAGAAGCACAAAGAAUACCUGGGAAAUUCAUCACAAAAAGAUCAUCACCUAGGCACAUUGUCACCAGGUUAUCCAAAGGUAAGACAAAGGAAAGAAUCUUAAGAGCUGUGAGACACAAGCACCACGUAACCUAUAAAAGAAAACCUAUCAGAUUAACAGCAGAUUUCUCAGCAGAAACCCUUCAAGCUAGAAGGGAUUGGGGCUUUAUCUUCAGCCUCCUCAAACAAAAAUCAGAAAAUAAUUUUGUAUCCAGGGAAACUAAGCAUCAUACAUGAAGGAAGGAAAGAUACAGUCUUUUUCAGACAAACAAAUGCUGAAUUUGUCACUACCAAACCACCACUACAAGAACUGCUAAAAGGAGUUCUAAAUAUUGAAACAAAUUCUGGAAACACAUCAAAACAGCAUCUCUUUAAAGCAUAAAUCAUACAGGACCUAUAAAACAAAAAUACAAGUUAAAAAGCAAAAAAAAAAAAAAUACACAGGCAAUGAAUAGCACGAUGAAUGCAAUAGUACCUCACAUUUCAGUACUAACAUUGAAUGUAAAUGGCCUAAAUGCUCCACUUAGAAGAUACAGAACCGCAAAAUGGAUAAGAACUCACCAAGCAUCUGCUGCCUUCAAGAAGCUCACCUGAC